AUUGAACGCUGGCGGCAUGCCUUACACAUGCAAGUCGAACGGCAGCACGGGAGCAAUCCUGGUGGCGAGUGGCGAACGGGUGAGUAAUAUAUCGGAACGUGCCCAGUAGUGGGGGAUAACUGCUCGAAAGAGCAGCUAAUACCGCAUACGACCUGAGGGUGAAAGGGGGGGAUCGCAGGACCUCUCGCUAUUGGAGCGGCCGAUAUCAGAUUAGCUAGUUGGUGGGGUAAAGGCCUACCAAGGCAACGAUCUGUAGUUGGUCUGAGAGGACGACCAGCCACACUGGGACUGGAACACGGCCCAGACUCCUAAGGGAGGCAGCAGUGGGGACUGAUGGCAAAUGGGCGCAUGCCUGAUCCAGCAAUGCCUCGUGCAGGAAGAAGGCCUUCGGGUUGUAAACUGCUUUUGUCAGGGAAGAAAUCCUCUAGGUUAAUACCCUUGGGGGGAUGACGGUACCUGAAGAAUAAGCACCGGCUAACUACGUGCCAGCCGCCGCCGUAAAAC
rnacentral:rRNA from 1 species